rnacentral:rRNA from 1 species
AUAAUACUCCAUAGAUUAGAGACACUGGAAUGUCUUUAGUCGAGAGUUCUGGCGCCUUAGGAUGGAUCUGCGGUCGAUUAGGUUGUUGUCGGGGUAACGGCCCAACAAGCCUGUAAUCGAUACGGGUUGUGGGAGCAAGAGCCCGGAGAUGGAAUCUGAGACACGAUUCCAGGCCCUACGGGGCGCAGCAGGCGCGAAAACUUUACAAUGCAGGAAACUGUGAUAAGGGAACUCCGAGUGCCCGUAUACGCGGGCUGUCCAGGUGUUUAAAAAUCAUCUGAAGAAAGGGCCGGGCAAGACCGGUGCCAGCCGCCGCGGUAAUACCGGCGGCUCGAGUGGUGGCCACUAUUAUUGGGCUUAAAGCGUCCGUAGCUGGACCGAUAAGUCUCUUGGGAAAUCCGCCGGCUCAACCGGCGGGCGUCUAAGGGAUACUGUUAGUCUAGGGACCGGGAGAGGUGAGAGGUACUCCGGGGGUAGGAGUGAAAUCCUGUAAUCCCCGGGGGACCACCGAUGGCGAAGGCAUCUCACCAGAACGGCUCCGACAGUGAGGGACGAAAGCUGGGGGAGCGAAGCGGAUUAAAUACCCGGGUAGUCCCAGCCGUAAACUAUGCGCGUUACGUGU